ACCCCCCCACUCCCUAGGUCAGGAUGAUUAUUGGGCCUAAAGCAUCCGUAGCCUGUUCUAUAAGUUUUCGGUUAAAUCCAUAUGCUCAACAUAUGGGCCGCCGGAAAUACUGUAGAACUAGGGAGUGGGAGAGGUAGACGGUACUCGAUAGGAAGAGGUAAAAUUCUUCGAUCUAUUGAUGACCACCUGUGGCGAAGGCGGUCUACCAGAACACGUUCGACGGUGAGGGAUGAAAGCUGGGGGAGCAAACCGG
rnacentral:rRNA from 1 species